rnacentral:rRNA from 1 species
AUUGAACGCUGGCGGCAGGCUUAACACAUGCAAGUCGAGCGAGCGGCGGACGGGUGAGUCAUGUCGGGGAAACUGCCUGAUGGAGGGGGAUAACUACUGGAAACGGUAGCUAAUACCGCAUACCAUCAGAUGUGCCCAGAUGGGAUUAGCUUGUGGGUGGGGUAAUGGCUCACCUAGGCCACGAUCCCUAGCUGGUCUGAGAGGAUGACCAGCCACCCUGGAACUGAGACACGGUCCAGACUCCUACGGGGGGCAGCAGUGGGGAAUAUUGCGCAAUGGGGGCAAGCCUGACGCAGCCAUGCCGCGUGAAUGAAGAAGGUUUUCGGGUUGUAAAGUUCUUUCGGUAGCGAGGCGUUAACUACAGAAGAAGCACCGGCUAACUCCGUGCCAGCAGCCGCGGUAAUUC